AGGCCAUGAUGCAGGCACAAUAUCAUCAUAUCUUUUUACCUUUCCCAAUCGUCAAAGAUAGAUUCUCCAUCAUCUUGUCUGAAACAAGUGAUUUGAUUUCUUUAAACUU